rnacentral:lncRNA from 1 species
UCUGUUAUGUUGGGCCAAUAAUAAUUGCCCUUCCAAUACUAACGCUUCAUAAGAAAAUAAGAUAAUACAAAAUAUUGCCUUGAAAUGAUGAUACUUAUAUAAAGGCAAAUACUAAAAGAUAGUCAAUUCGGACUAUAAUUGACUGUAAUUAUGACCUUCUUUUUUAUUUUAUUCUAACAAAGUAACAAAAGAGCUCUUACCCUCCCUGAGGAAUGAAUAAGGAAAUCAAGGCAUGGAGCAUUACAGUUGUUUCUCAACUCACUCAUUAUGAACAAUAGUAGAUACUAAACUAAAACUUAGUGACUUGGUGCCCAAUGAAUUCUCAGUGAUCUCACUCAGAACUCACUCUCAGUGGUUCAGCAUUCAUCUGCCUCCAUCUCAGGAAACUCUUCUCCAGCAACUGACAGUUUCUCUACCUCCACUGAUUGCCUUCUUACUUCACAGUAAGUCUUGGAACCCUGGGGGAUUUUUAGAACCAUUAGAAAUGAGGUAAAGUCUCAGUGACCUUUUCAGCACAACAAUGCUGUGAGACAAGCUGAAAAGGUUUAGAAAGCAUAGGGGAAAAACAAGGCACUGCCUAUAACUGUUUACUGUCUCUCUGGUAAUUCUGCCCCUCAACUCCCUCUAGAAAACCAAGGUUGUAAAUGUUAUGGAGGAAGUCUUCCAGGAGUGGUUUUUAAAUUUAGAUAUGAAGCCUAACAUCGGCAAUGUGGCUUGCCACCAAAGGAAGAUUUACCUUCAGGAUGAAGCUGAUGAUAUGGAAAGAUGGGAAAGAAAUGAGGAUCUUUAUGACAUGGGUGAGCAGCUGAAUCAUUCCAACCCUGAAAUCCAUCAUCAUUCUGCAAUCCACCCACAGAAGACAAUAAACAGAUCACCAUCGUUGAGGGUGAUUGACAUUUUCUGUGACAUACAGAGCCAGACAUGUGAAUGCUAUGUGUAUAUUACCUAUAUAUGAAUAUAUAAAAGGAUCUUUUACAUUAGUAGCUGAAGUUUAUAAAUAAAUGCUUUACUAAGAAUAACUUCCC